AGUGGGUAAUGGAAGAAACAUAAAGACCACGUAUAGAAAAGCCCACAGCUAACCUAAAAUAAAAACCAAAGAUGCUACACUCACCACUUUUAUUCAACACGGUAUUGGAAGUCUAGCCAGAGCACUCAGAGAAAAAAUGAAAACUUCCAAUAAGAAAGGAAGAAAAGUAAAAUGGUCUCUACUUACAGAUGACACGAUGUUAUAUACAUAUGGAAAACCCUAAAGACUUCACCAAAAAAAAAAAAA